rnacentral:rRNA from 1 species
GAGUACGGCCGCAAGGUUAAAACUCAAAUGAAUUGACGGGGGCCCGCACAAGCGGUGGAGCAUGUGGUUUAAUUCGAUGCAACGCGAAGAACCUUACCUGGUCUUGACAUCCACAGAAUCUUGCAGAGAUGCGAGAGUGCCUUCGGGAACUGUGAGACAGGUGCUGCAUGGCUGUCGUCAGCUCGUGUUGUGAAAUGUUGGGUUAAGUCCCGCAACGAGCGCAACCCUUAUCCUUUGUUGCCAUUGGUUCGGCCGGGAACUCAAAGGAGACUGCCGUUGAUAAAGCGGAGGAAGGUGGGGACGACGUCAAGUCAUCAUGGCCCUUACGACCAGGGCUACACACGUGCUACAAUGGCGUAUACAAAGGGAGGCGACCUCGCGAGAGCAAGCGGACCUCAUAAAGUACGUCUAAGUCCGGAUUGGAGUCUGCAACUCGACUCCAUGAAGUCGGAAUCGCUAGUAAUCGUGAAUCAGAAUGUCACGGUGAAUACGUUCCCGGGCCU